GUGUCACUUUUAUAGCAUAUAUACUAAAAUCAGAAUGCUACAGAGAAAAUGAGCAUAGCCCCUAUGCAGGGAUGACAUGAAAAUUCUGAAGUGUUCCAUAUUUUU